AUACAGAGGGUGCGAGCGUUAAUCGGAAUUACGGGGCGUAAAGCGCGCGUAGGCGGCUACUUAAGUCAGAUGUGAAAUCCCCGGGCUCAACCUGGGAACUGCAUCUGAUACUGGGUAGCUAGAGUUUUGGAGAGGGAAGUAGAAUUUCAGGUGUAGCGGUGAAAUGCAUAGAGAUCUGAAGGAAUACCAGUGGCGAAGGCGACUUCCUGGCCAAAAACUGACGCUGAGGUGCGAAAGCGUGGGUAGCAAACGGGAUUAGAUACCCCGGUAGUCC
rnacentral:rRNA from 1 species